rnacentral:lncRNA from 1 species
CUCUAGGUGGGAACAGGGGCAUGCUGGGAAGAAGGGUUUAUUCUUCGGUGGGAGCAACCAUCUUGGCAUGACGUCACACAGGGGAGGGGGCAAGGCACAAUAGGAAGAGGGCAGCUACUAUACGUAAUAGCUGCUGAGGUAGUGAAAGACCUAUCAGCUAUCACUGAGGGUUAUGGGAUAUUCAGCUAGAUUGAGUGGAGGCAGAAACAAAAAAGGGGUCAGGAUAAUGGGGCAAGACUGAGGAAUUUGAGAUUCUGGUCUAAGUCCCUGCCCUGUGACUUCCUCGUGGGUGAUAGUGGGUGAAUCACUUGCCUCCUCAAGAUUUCAAUUGCUUCAGCUAUAAAAUAGGGAUCAUCCUGGACUCUCCUAUUCCUGCUUAAUGUCAACAUGCUUCCUGCUUCAGUAACAGUAUCAACUACUCUAAGUGGAAUAUACUUAAAUAGAUAAACUAGUUUUGGAGGGUCUAGUCCAUGGUAAGGCAGACCCGCUGUUUUUAGGCCUCUGGAGAAGGCAGAGAAACCAAAGACAAGAGAAGCUGGCCCCAAGAGCAACAAUGCCAAAAACAUGAAAGAAAUAGAGAAAAUGCAUGCCCACUUUGCCCUCCAGGACAAGAUCCUUGAACGGCUUUUGUUCAGCGAGAUGAAGAUGAAGGUGUUGGAAAAUCAGAUGCUCAUCCUAUGGAAUAAAAUGAAUCGCUGCAGGCCAUCAAGCAGAUAUCAUCAUUUCCCCAGGAAGAAACGCAUACUGGAGAGUGCCGUUGCAGUGGUGUCAAGCCUCCGCCACACGAUCUCACGUAGGGGACAAACCAUAUCCAACCAUAGCACCCUGUGAAUCUCAGCCGGAAGCUGUUGAAUGUUCUUAGUGAGCCAUAUGGGAGAGGUACCAAGGAUCCAGGAGGAUGAGAGCCUGAAAGGUCAUCCGUGAAGAACAAACCUGACCACAGCAGGUCAACCAGGUAGCAGAUGGCAUAGCUGAUGGGGCUCUGGAGCCCACCCCUUCCUCUUUCAGUUGGGUGCCUCUCCAUGGCCCAGGGCCAUAUGCCAGGUCCCAGUGAGUCUCCCCACUGCUGCCCAGCCGGCACCCACCCCCUAUAGGCCAGAGUGAGCCCUGCCAAGAACCACCUUGACCAUAAUUCUUGCCUGUCACUCAGCCAAUGUCCCGCAUCCCUGGUUGACAGAAUAAAACCUGUCCUCCUUCCCAUGGUUCCCAGGCCCCUUUCCAGCCUUUCUUCCCCUCCAUUACUCCCCGUACAGCUUUAAACUUUCCACUAGGGUGUCCUGUAUGGCAGGGCAAGAGGUUUUUGCCAGAGGCAAGAACCAUCUGAAUGUGUAACUCAAUAGUAUCCCUUUAAUCAACUCUCUUUUUCUUAAAUACAUUUAUCUGUAAGAGAAAAAACACAAAUAAACAACAGUAUCUUUUAAAAACCAAAACUAUCAUUGGCUUAAAUAGGACACAACUGCAAAAAUAAAGACAAUGAAAACAAAACCAUGUUAGGUUCCAAGCAGAGCUUGAGUGCUCACUGAAAAAUUGGAGUUUUGUGAAUUUGGAGUUAAAAAGUGAAAUUAGCUGCUAUAGUGACACAGACCUGUAAUCCAAGCACUCUGGGAGGCUGAGGCAAAAAGACUGCA